rnacentral:rRNA from 1 species
UACGUAGGGUGCGAGCGUUGUCCGGAAUUAUUGGGCGUAAAGAGCUCGUAGGCGGUCUGUCGCGUCGGUCGUGAAAACUUGGGGCUUAACCCUGAGCUUGCGGUCGAUACGGGCAUGACUGGAGUUCGGCAGGGGAGACUGGAAUUCCUGGUGUAGCGGUGAAAUGCGCAGAUAUCGGAAGGAACAUCAGUGGCGAAAGCGGCUUCCUGGUCCAGCACCGACGUUCAGGCACGAAAGCGUGGGGAGCAAACAGG